rnacentral:rRNA from 1 species
UACGAAGGGGGCUAGCGUUGCUCGGAAUUACUGGGCGUAAAGGGCGCGUAGGCGGCGCAAGUAGUCAGGCGUGAAAUUCCUGGGCUUAACCUGGGGGGCUGCGCUUGAUACGCUUGUGCUAGAGGAUGGAAGAGGCUCGUGGAAUUCCCAGUGUAGAGGUGAAAUUCGUAGAUAUUGGGAAGAAACACCGGUGGCGAAGGCGAUUUUCUAGAUUAUACCUGACGCUGAGGCG